rnacentral:lncRNA from 1 species
GGCCCAUGAAGCUUUUUUUUUCUUUGCAUGUUGAUCACUACUACACUGUUCAGGUUCUUAAUCAAGGUAGUAGUAAAUUCUCCGUGUUUUCCUCUGUACAAAUUUCGACUUGUUUGAUGUUCUUUAAUUUUAUUUCUCCUAAUCAAUCAUCUAAGUUCCCAAUGAAAGUAGCUUUGUGGGUGUGUGUGUGUGAUCAUGCUUCAUUUACUUCUAUCGCUAAGUUUCAGUUAUCUCAAUAUGACCACUAUAAAAGCCAGGCGAUGUUUGCUUGAGAAAAUAGUGUAAUAAACAGAGAUUCUUUGUGUUGCAAAUAAUUCCAUAUACCGAAAGAACAACUCAACCCAGUUUGCAUGCAGCUGGCACAUAUAUUCACCAGAAACUGAUUGACUAUGAUUGUGGGUCGCAAGCAAAGGAAUGCUAACCGUGGUGGUGGUGGUGAUUGAAGAGCCCUUAAUCAAUUCGGCCCUGUAGAUUGGAGCAGCAACCUGGGAUAUUGCACCAUCUAGCUCCGUCUAUCUGAUUCAUCUUCUUUUCUUGGUCUAUCAAUUGGAGGAAUCUACAGGUAUGUGCUGCAUGUUUUCUGCUAACGGGAGAGCAACAUAUUUGUGAAGACUUUCGUUUCUUGUUUACUUUCAGUCUGUCAUAAUUUUUUAACUGAAGACAUAUUAUUGUUAGUUGGAUGAGAGCUGAUGCUAUACUGCCAUUAGAUAGACUAGGGCGCAAACUCUCUUAAUCUGUGCAAAUAACAGUGCAAACCAACCUCGUAUUCUUUGAGGAACAAACUGAUAUUAUGGUUACAGUUUUUAACAGAAGCAAGGAAUCUUAGUAAGCAUUAUAUAUUGAUGUUACAUGAUUUGCUGCACCUUAGGACCAUCAGCUAGGCAUGGCCUUACAAAAUACGUUCAUUAUCUGGCCAACCAUUCUUCCUUUUGCUACCUGAACUGACAACAAGCAUUGUAGUAACGUGAUGUUUAUGUCAAUCCCAGAUUCGUGAAUAUGUUCCUGACCUCGCACAAUCGAUAGUCGGUCUGAUCUCGUCCUCCAAUGACCAAGAGUUCCGAGACGAAUGUGUGGUGCCCCUCGCGUAACAUAGGUGAGAUGAUCUUGCACUCACCUUUAAUUAUAUUUUCCCUACAGUCUUCUAUGUGUAAUAUUGGCACUACAUUAAUGUAAUUUCUAUUAUAUUCAUGUUGUAAAGAACGGCUUCAGCAUCAUAGGGUGUGCAAUAAUAAGAGCAAAAUUUAUCAUCCAAUUCACAUAGAAAAUUCAGUAUCAAAUGUACUUAAACACACUCUGUUCACAGUUAGACCUGUUUGUCAAUGUAUUUUGUCGCUUUUUAUUUACCCCCUUGUUGUACUCCUUUCUCAUCACUGUAUUUGUCCAUCAGCCAUCCCUUCUUUUCCCUUGUGCUUCCCUAACCUUAUUACCGAUGCCUUAGAACAAAUAUGAUUGCUUAAGAAUGGGCGCAUAAUUUUUAUAGUAAGCCAUGUCAUAUGGUAGGAGGUAGCGUGGCUUUGGUUUAUUUUCUGAUAAGGAUAUCUUAUGUAACCAAACUGUUUGCAAUAUCUUCUAGUUUUUAGAUAUUGUUUUAGAUCUUUGGGAUCAUUGGCAACUCGCAAGUUUGAACAAACUAUCAUUUCUAUGAUUGUUGAAACAUAGAUGUUGUUUUUUGCAGGGACAUGGCAGAAAGUAGCAAGUCCACAAGUUGAUCUAAGAUGUUCCGGUGAUCGCUUUUGUUCAUAACAUGGUAGAUACAUUUUGUUCAUAUGGAAGUUGAUGCCGGCUUGGUGAUUGAAGGAUUGGUCUCUUUCAUAAUACUCCCUCUGUACCUAAAUACUUGUAGUUGGGGGAAACUUGACACGUCUUGUAUGUCGACUUAUGUAUUACCUUCAUGGUUGUAGCAAACUUGAGUGAAGAUAACAAAUGUUCAAUAUAUGUUGAAUAAAUGUACUAGUGAAUGGUGUCUUGUGAUGAAUAGAAGAGUGCAAUUAUUUGUAUAUGUAUUGUGCACCGAACAUGAGUUGAAUACUACAAAUGUAAUUUUAUUGAAAAUAUGGUGCAAAUGCAUUUUGUGCUGAAAU